rnacentral:lncRNA from 1 species
CAGGAAAGACAUGAACCUCCUGUACGCAGAUUCAAUUUAGUUGUAGAUAAUAUGUUACAUACAAUGAUAUAGAAGCUACGAUUUUUCGUUAGAGUAAUAUUAAACGUUCUUAAAAAGUCCCUUUUGCAGAUAUCAAGGCGAUCAGAAAAUCGCAAAAAAAUCAUUUGAAAUGUGUUUUUCUGACACUGUACGCAGACAAAUACCCCCAAA